UACAGAGGUCUCAAGCGUUGUUCGGAUUCAUUGGGCGUAAAGGGUGCGUAGGUGGCGCGUUAAGUCAGGUGUGAAAUUUCGGGGCUUAACUCCGAAACUGCAUUUGAUACUGGCGUGCUUGAGGACUGGAGAGGAGACUGGAAUUCAUGGUGUAGCAGUGAAAUGCGUAGAGAUCAUGAGGAAGACCAGUGGCGAAGGCGGGUCUCUGGACAGUUCCUGACACUGAGGCACGAAGGCCAGGGGAGCAAACGGG
rnacentral:rRNA from 1 species